CAUCUUUAAAGUAGUUUUCUUGCUCUAUUUUCGCAUAAUUGUUCUUCGCGUUUCUCAACCGUACCAUUUUCUCUAUCUUUUUCCUUUCUCCUUUUUCGUUGUCUUUCUCUUUUUUACUGGUUUUGACGUAUACAAUUUUCCUACAAACUUGAUUCUCUUUUAGAGCCGACAUCAUGAUGCUGAAGGCAGACGAGCUUUACAAUAGCAUUGAACUCUGAGGUACGGAUAAUGGCACAUCCGCCGGCGAAUACGAUCAAUCUAACGCUGGAGAAAUUCCUCAACAAAAUGGUUGCGAAGAACGUUAGCAAGGGCAUCAAGAGCUUUUCAUCUUGGAAAAAUUUCGCAAUAACGUACAUCAAGUUACCCGUAUUCCAAAGACAUACUCGUUAGGCCAGUGACGGCGAUUGCUCUGCAAGUCGACGCAUACUGAAGCCAAAGCAUAUCUAUAAUACAUAAGUAUAUUGUCGGCUGGCUGAACCACCAAGUACGAGGCCAAGGACAAUGCCACCGAAGGUUGAUGACAGCAAAUCAAAAUUUGGGAAAUGAUCAAAACCCUGAAGAAGCAGAAGGUUAUCUAAUUGAUAAUUUAUUCAUCCCUCAGGGGCCGAUGCGCCUGCGCACAGGAUGCAGAGGCACGGGUGUAGCAAUCCCGAGGUACCCUAGCCGGAUCGUGCAAAUGCGCGUGUGCCGCACAUACUUGUAUGAGCGGUAUCUUGCACGAGCUCCACAGUCGAGGCUGUGCACGCUAGAGACCGAUGCGUAAGCUGGUGAUCCCGCUGGAAACGGUCCGUGAAGGACCUUCGGGAAAUUCCGAGUUAAACGGCUAAGUGGGUCACUUCCCGCAUGGAACGGUCUUCCUCGCUGAUAAUCCUUAAAUGGCGAAGCUUGGGUUUUUCUUUGUACCGCCGCAUACAACGUCCAUAUGCAUGACCUUUCAUGGUGGUUUAGAGAUAAUAGUCAAUAGGCGAGGCGGCAUAUCCGCGUCCCGGUGCGCCGGGCCGGAUUUGAAUUAAUUAAUUGAUAAUUUACUUAGUAUGAGUCGGUCUUUCGGCGCAUGACAUCUAGAUGAUCAAGUCGUUAGAGAAGAGGCAUGAAAAACACAAUCCUGAUUGAUUGAGCGAAGCAAUUGUAUCACAAUUGUUAAAGUGAUAUCUGGGAUGCUUUUUUAUUGCUGGAUAGUAUGAGCUAGAGUGUUCUCAUGUUAAAUAAUCAAAUCAUACUAGCUCUUAUUGGCUGUCUCGCGCAAGAACUAAUAGGAUUUGAUCGUUUACCACGAGCACACCUAUGAAGUACAAUUCCAGAGCUGAAAGUUGUUAGCAUGUGCUUGGGGAAUCGAUGCCAAGAUUGAGCCAAGAUGUUAGCGCUCCCCAAAUAGCUAACUAUUGUACUCGUGCUAAUUUUGUAUAAACAAAAAAAAAACGGCUAUAAACAUGUGACUCGAUGCUAUAGCUACACAACAUAUACUAUUGUUGAUACGUUGACGAUGUUCUUGGUAAUAAUAGAAACUGAAAACAAAUUCUGCUAUUUGGAAGUUCACUGUUGACCUCGGUAAUUACUCAGAAUCAUGUACAUGUGACGGGCCAAUUUUACUCACUUCACAAAAUAUGUGAUGGGCCUAUUUUAUUCACUUAACGAUAAUUAAUAACUAGUUUUCUUUAUUCGUAACAGAAAGAGAAUCAAUUAUUAAUUGGAAAUUCCCAAUAGGAACAGACGAAAUCAAUCUAAGAAAAUUCUAUCGUAGUAGCCGUCGAUUCAUGACUGGAAGAACAAUGAGAUCUGAAUUAUAUCCUGGUACAAGUUAGACUGCUUUAUUUAGUGUCGUUUAUUUAUACAGAUUGUUCGGGUAUAAUGUACGUGACAAAUUCACAUAAAGGUGAGGCAGGUUCAUUUGUUUAGGUCAAUCAGCAGCUGGAGUGUUAAGGAGUCUGCUUCACACCCCCGUUGUUAGAUUCACUUUAGUCCUCUAAAGUGUACGACCUUUUUCUUGAUUUUUGGUACGGCGAUGUUUUCCAAUAUUAAGCGUCUUGGUCGCACGGAGAUUGUACCUUGAUGUAGGUGCAUUGAGAUGUUGGUUGGAGCUCCAAAUAGGUGUCUAGCGUACUUGGUUGAACCAGGCUAGUUUUUUUUCUGUGUGACUUUUGUAGUGUUACAACAUAUUUUAAUACAUAACUUUUUGGGUAUGAUUUUAUUUAAUGCUUUGAAGAAUCCUAUUUUGUGGAGGGUGUAUAGAGUUAUUAGUCCUAAUGAUGUGUAUCUGGCGUAACGUAGUAUGUCGAAUACUAUGUCUGUAGUGCUUUUAAUACGUCGUGCUGUUUUAGUCUGUUUUAAUUGAUUGUACAUGUCGUCGAGCGAAGCUUUGUAAUUAUUGAAAUUUGGAGUUACAUAUGGUGCGUUUGGUAUAAAAUGUUCUAGAAUUUUUAUGUCAUCUGAGGAGAUAUUAAUUUUGAGUGUAUAUAGUGUUUCCUGGAUUUGAAUUUCUCUAGUUGUACCUCCAAUUACAUUAUUUUCUUACAAUUGUGCAGUCUUCGUCGCUGAAUAUUAUAGAGGGACCUGUCAGGUGAAUUCUGUUACUUCCUUGCAAAGAGCUUGAAUCUCUAAAGGUCUCUGAGAUAUUGCGAUAUAUCUAUUUGGUAUAUACAUGGGUACAAAUGUUAUAGUAUCAAUUUUGAAUAUUAUUGUGCCACAUUCAGUGUGGUCGCUCUUUUUUAAUGUUUGACAUUCGUUGUAGUAAUCGUGUCGCGUAGAUUGUGUUCUUUCGCAAAUAGAUCCUAAAGGACUGUUUUUACAAUAUUUGUUUUAGAUAAUAAUCGUUAAUAAUGAUCUGUGAUCCUGGUUGUUCCAAUCUCAUGUCGUGGUCUAUUAAGGGUGCUAAAAAUACGUUUUGGACUUGAUGUGGUAUAGGAUAAUAUUUGAGGAUGGCCUAUUCGUGUUCUUCUAACAUUGGUAUUUCAAUUCUAUAGAUAAUAGUAUUGUUGACUACUAUUGCUAUUAAUUUACUAAUGUCUAUAAUAGUUUGAAAAUUUUCUUUUUGUGCAGGAAUUGUGACAGAUUUAGCUUUGGUUAUUUCUUUGUAUGCUUAUAUGAACCGGUUUAUGUCAAUGAGCGUUGUGUCUAUUAUUCCAUUUUUCCCUAAUAUUAUGUUAUAAAAUUCAUUGAUUUUGCUCGUGAAUUCUGAAUAGAGUACUUCUAGAGUAAAUAGCAUUUAACGCGAGAGAGUUUUGUGUUUCUUGUAGUCUGGUAGAUUGCUCCGUUAACUUGGUUGUGAGACUUCCAAAGUGGUCGUCCGCGAAUAUUUGUUUUAGCAUGAUGGUCUGGUUUUGCAUUAUAUACUGCUAAUUUUAUUUUGGUCAUCGAAAAGUUUGUCUAUAUUUUUAUUAAUUAGGUUUAAGUCGUCGUUGUCUAGUGUCCCGACUAAAGUUUCGGAUAUUGAACCGAUUGCGUUUAUCAGUCCUCGUUUUGUUCGUUGGUGUAGUAUAGUCUUAAGUUUUUAUAUUGAAUUCCCUACUUGUCUUAUUUUGCUUUGUAUUAUGGGGUUUUGACAUCUGGUUUUUGAGCAGUGUUCGUGCAUGGGUAUAGCUAUUCUAUGUAUUAAUUGUGCGUUUUCUUUUAAUUCGUCCAUCUUAAAAAUUACAUUUAUUUUUACUGUGUUGUGAUGUAUGUAGCUAGUCCCUAUGAUUUCUUUCAGUAUCCUCGUAUCAUUUAUGGGCUGUAUCUUCAAACAGAGACUCGUUGUCACUAAUCCCUGGAAUAAUAUGAUUUGAUUCAGUUACCGUGUACUAAUAGCGUUUUCUUGGAGUUGAUUUCUAAAAGGUAGUUGAGUGUUUUUAUUUUUAGCAUUUUGUAGGGGCCUAACCAUUCUUUGCUAAGUUUAUGACUCUUAUGAUCAUUAUGUAAUAGGACUAAAUCUCCAUUUUUGUAUACGCUUUUAAUUAUAAUUUUCUUAUCCUGUUCUUUUUUAUAUCGCUCCUUAUUUUUAAUCAUAAUUAAUUUUGCUUUAUCAAGAUAUUCCUGGUGUCUAAUUUUCCAUAGUUUGAACAACUCUUUAUAGGUUAAGCUGGAAGUUGUCGCGAUAGCUGAAGGCAUAUUUGCUUCGUGUCCGAAAGUUAAUUCAAAGGGAGUAUGGCCCGUGUGUUCCUGAGUGUACCGAAGUGUUAUAGGACAUGCAAAUUAAAUUGAGAUAUUCAUUCCAUUCGUCUUUUCGUUCAUCAAUGCAGGUUUUUAUUAGAUCUUUUACCGUACCGUGUGUUCGUUCUAGACUGCCAUUGCUUUGCGGAUGGAAGCUAGUAGUUUUUACAUGCUUAAUUUUGAAUGCCUUUUCGAACGAUUCCAUCAGCUUGCAUACGAAAAUUUCGUCCUUGAUCGAUUAAGAUGUGCUUCGAGAAUGAGAAUGUAAUGAUUGAUCAAUAAUGGUUUUCGCCUUUUGAUCGUUUAGUGGUAUGAGUAGAAGAUACUUGGUCAACUGGUCUUGGAUAGAGAGGAUGAAUUGGUUUCCGGUUUUCCCGAUGGGAAAUAGUCCAAUAAUGUCGAGUGCAAUUUUGUCAAGUAGGGUUGUCCGGGAUUAUGGCUUAUUCGCGAGGUCGUCCAUUCUAGUAAGCUUAUUUUGUUGGCACGUCUUACAAGUUUUUAUAUAGUCUACUACGUCUUUGUCUAUUCCUUUCCAAUAAUAUUUAUUUUUGAUUCGUUCGAUAGUCUUGUUUUCUCCGAAAUGAUUGACAUUGUCGUCCAUCUCAAACAGUAUUUGUUUCUUUUCGUCGGGACUUAUUUCGGUGUAUGGUUCGGUGGCCAGGAAUAUCAGGAUAUCUGAUUGGUUAAGAAUCUGAGCAUUAGUUGGAUUGUCACAAUGUGCAGUGCCGAGAAAAUUUCUCCUGAUCCAAGUCUGAUAUCAUUUUCUGAUGUCAAGUGUUCGAGUAAGGAUUUUAGUCGUAAUAGCCAUUCUUUCUCGUUAUACGGUCCUAACUGUUGGUGCGUAAUCUGUGUGUAAUUAGGUUUAUUGGGGCAAAGUCUGACGAGAUCUUCCUAUGGUUGGAUCGGUUUUCCAUGUGUAGAGGAGAGUUCGUAGAGGAGAUCGGAAGGUGAUUGGAUUUUUUCGAUUUCAGGUCAUUCAUCGUUAAGCUGUUCAGGUGACAUUGGAAUCUUUUUUCGGAUUUUGAUGUUAAGUUUCACCGGUUUGUCUUCUAUAAUGCGGAGUGGAUGCAGUCGAGAUAACGCGUCUGCUACUACAUUAUCUUUACCCUUCUUAUACUGAAUUUCGUAGUCGUAUUCUUCUAGUCUGAGUCUCCAUCUCAUAAGUCUAGAAGAAGGAUCGCGUAUGUUGUGUAACCAUUUAAGUGCUUGAUGAUCAGUUUGAAUUAUAAAACGUUUUCCUAACAGGUAUUGUCUUAGUCUUUUGAUUGCCCAUACGAUGGCUACUAGUUCCUUUUCUGUAGUAGUAUAGUUUUUCUCGGCUGCAUUUAGUGUUUGGGAAAUAAAACAGCAGGGAUGGUCGUUCUGGGAUAAGAUUGCUCCAAUUCCUUUGUUACUUGCGUCGGUAGUCAGUGUAAAAGGUAAUUCAAAACAGUAACAGAGUAUCGGGGUUUCGCCGAGUUUCUGUUUUAAGGUGUUGAAUGCCGUCUCUUGUUUGUCUGUCCAAUGGAAAGGUACAUUUUUUUGUAUAAGAUCAGUCAGGGAUUUGGCAAUUUUUGCAAAAUUUUUUAUACAAAACCGUAUACUCUUCUUGGUAUGCCCGCUUAUUUUUUGAGCAAUUAUCAUUUUCAGUAAACUGUCCUGAUCAUUGACGCGAUUACGCGCAAAUUUUACUGAUUUAAUAAACUCUUCUACUCUUAUGUCGUCUUUUCCGUAGAGAGUUUCGACUGUUAGGAGCGCAUCGGUUACCUUGAGAUUGUUAAUGAUCACUGGUCGUCGUGGUGUCCCAACGUUUCGUCCUGGUUGUUCAUUUCUAACGGUGUCCAUAGUGUUCUCGACCUCUGAUUCCGUUGCCGUGGGAUCUUGUGUCUUCUGUGAUGGCGAUGAUACCCAGUUGUGUCCCUAAGUUCUUGAGCUCUUUUGCCUGUCCUCCAUUAUUUUAAUGGAAUGCAGUAGUUUCCGAAGGGCGUCUCCCGGAGUUUUUUGAAUUUCUUCCUGUCUUCUUAGUUGCGUAGUAAUUACUUCCAUGUUAUUUAGUAUAUUACGCAUGAGUUCGGGUUCGUUGUUCUUAGCCGUAGUCAUAUUUUUACAAAGAUUUUUACCUUAGUAAAGACUUGAAUGGUUCGUGGAUCCAGGUGGUGAAUCAAUAGGAUUGGCUCUCGUGGUCCCAGGUGCUGAAAUCCUGUAGGUGUUUCCUUUGAUGUUGCGCUAGUGGAUCCUGGCAGGAUCGCCAAAAAUGUCACGGGACAAAUCUAUUCACUUCACAAAAUAUGUGAUGAGACAAUUUUAUCCACUUAAUGAUAAUUAAUAACCACUUUCCCUCAUUCACAACGAAUAAAGAGAACAAGUUAUUAAUUGAAAUAUUCCCAAUAAGAACGACUGAAUCUAUCUAAGAGAAUUCUACCGUAAUAGCCGUCGAUUCGUGACUGGGAGAAUAAUGAGAUCUGUAUUAUGUGUUGGUAAAAGUUAGACUGCUUUAUCGAGUGUCUGUUAUUUAUACAGAUUGUUCGGGUAUGAUGUACGUGACAAAUUCGCGUAAAGGUGGGGUAGGUGAUUCAUUAGUUUGGGUUUGAAUUAGUAGUAAGAGAGAUAAGGAGUCUGUUUCACAGAGUCGUCUUCACACAGAAUUUGAUCAUUUACCACGGUCACACCUAUGAAGGACAGUUCCACAACUGAAAGACGUUAGCAUGUGCUGUAGAAUGACACAUGCUAAGACUGUGGUAUGGAUGGCACUGUGUUAUGGACUCAUCACUAUAACUAAAGUGUUACUGUGUACACGAUUGCAAUUAAUUGCAAUUCGUGUUCUUUUGAUCACUACCUCUUGAGUAGUUGUUAAGACACGAUCAUCGUUUGGUCUUCAGGAAUAUGCCGUUCUAACCUUUCACAUCAUCAACACCUGGUAUGAUGAGCAAUAUACUAAUAUUCCUACACUCACAGUUCUAAUUCAAUAUCUAAGGUCGAGCCUUUUUUUGGUAUAUUAUUUAACAUCACUGCUCACGGAUGGUUGUCAACAGUUUUCAACAACAAAGUCUAUGUACAAGGGUGUUCUGCAAAACACAUCACAGUCGGGUGCAAAGAUCAUAUGUUUCAUUGUUUGUAUUAUAGUUGUUAAAGUGAUGAUCUGGGGUGCUCAAUUCCUGGGCUCAAUUCGCAGUCUGAGCUAGAGUGUUCUCGUGUUAACUAAUCAAAUCAGACUAGCUAUUGGCCGUCUCGCGCAAGAACCAACAUGAUUUGAUAGUUUACCACGAGCACACCUAUGAAGUACAAUUCCAGAACUGAAAGAUGUUAGCAUGUGCAUGUAGGAUAACACAUGCUAAGACUGUGGUAUGGAUGGCAGUGUUAUGGACUCAUCACUAUAACUAAAGUGUUACUGUGUACACGAUUGCAAUUAAUUGCAAUUCGUGUUCUUUUAAUCACUACCUCUUGAGUAGUUGUUAAGACACGAUCAUCGUUUGCUCUUCAGGAAUAUGCCUUUCACAACAUCAACAUCUGGUACAAUGGGUAAUAUACUAAAAAUAAUUAUUGAUAUAUACGCGAGAGUGAAGAAGGUAUUCGUCCACGUGCUGCAAGAUCUGUUGAAGAAUUUUCGUUGUGGUAGUAAGAGAUUAUUUAAAAAAAAAAAAAAAAAAACGAUUAGGCUACUAGUACUGAGCAGCAAUUACUUUAUUUAAUUACGUUAGGAAAUUUCUGACGUUAUUAUAGAAGAAAACGCAACGUUGUUUUACUACAACUUUAUGAUUGUGGAUUGUUCACGGUUCGCGAGGGUUGUGAGUACAUUUCUAUGAUACAAGUGGCGCUUAUUUCGAUUCCUCAAGCAAACGUACUGAUAUUAAGUAAGAUAAAACAUACCAAACAUACCAAAAGGCAUUACGAUAGUUGGAUUAUAUCAUACUCGAUUUUACAAAUAAUUGAAAUUAAAUUAAUUUAUCAAACGAAUUAACGACAUUUUCUUUGAGACGCAUUCUAAUCGAUGCGGACGCACUUAUCACAGGUUUUUGCAUCAUUUGCUUGCACUUUGAAAUAUGCGAGAUAUUCUUUUUUCUAUGAUACACCGCGUCGAAUGCGAGAUUUAUUCGGGCCUUUUUAAUUUUCACCGCCUUUAACAUAUCUAUCAGACAUAGAUGCAGAGCAAUGAUGCAAAAACAAAGCACACAU